UGUGUAACUAAGUAUUCGUUUUAAAAUAUUGCAGAAAAUAUGAAUUUAAAUUGUAAAUUUUAAAUAGUGGGAUUUUAUUUACACCCAAAAGUCUUUAAUUAAUAUUGUCAUAAUUUUUUAAGCUCAAUUUUAUACCUGAAUUAUUGUUCUAUUUUUACGUUUCUACCAAACGCUAACACUUAACGCUUAACCUAACCAUCGUUUAGUUCCAACGAAAUGAGCAAUGAACGUGAAUUGGGUAACGCAAGCAUGUAAAUACGUCGACUGCCUAACGCUCCUUCAUUUGGUGGUUUUUUGCACGGAAUUCAUUGGAUUGGUAGUUUGGUAGUGAGAUAACGAGUAAGCAUAAACGUCCUUUAUUCACGGGAGGUAAGUUUAUCAGUGGCGUAGAUCAUACACUAGCCAUCGUCAAAAUAGCCAUUUUAGAUUCGAAACGUAACGAGGAAUCUAUUGGUUUUACUAUGUUGUGUCAGUGAAUCAUUUUUCUAAAAGAAACCUUGCUCCGAAGUGUACACUACAGCGUCUUUUUUGAAAAGUAAUUUUCUUUCGUUGGAGCACUGGAAAGAUCAUUUUAUCAAGAGAUUGUCGAAAUAAUUGGGAAAAACCGAAAAAAAAUUAUUGGUAAUAUGGGAAAUAUUUA